UGCGGCUGGAUCCCCUCCUUUCUAGAGUAGCACCAGGAGCUAACGCUCCAUCAUCAAGCGUCCACGCUUAUCGGCUGUUAAUAAAAACGAGAACAGUUCGGGUCUGUAGCUCAGUCGGUUAGAGCACCGUGUUGAUAACGCGGGGGUCGUUGGUUUGAAUCCAACCAGACCCACCAACGGUUAUCAGCAAACCUCGAUUGGGGGAUUAGCUCAGCUGGGAGAGCACCUGCUUUGCAAGCAGGGGGUCGUCGGUUCGAUCCCGUCAUCCUCCACCACUAUCUUUACGUAAGACCUGGUGUUUUAGGUAAGUGUAGUUCUCGUUCUUUAAAAAUCUGGAAGAAGUAAAGUUUUCUUUAAGCGUGUAGUUGAUCGCAAGAUCAAAUGCACACUUAGGGUAGUAAUCUGAAACACAAACACAGUUGUACUCUUGCCUGUAACGUCCUUGGUUUAGUCGCCAGGGGCCAACGUUAUAGGGACAAGUGAAUAAGUGCACAUGGUGGAUGCCUUGGCGAUUACAGGCGAUGAAGGACGUUGUAGCUUGCGAUAAGCUGCGGGGAGUGAGCAAACACACUUUGAUCCGCAGAUUGCCGAAUGGGGAAACCCCGAAGGGCGAA
rnacentral:misc_RNA from 1 species